AGUAAUGUGGCUGAUAUUAAGUGAUAAAUUGUAAAUUUAUUUAUGUCUGUAAAAGAUUUUUACUA
rnacentral:tRNA from 1 species